UUAGAGUUUGAUCCUGGCUCAGGAUGAACGCUAGCGGCAGGCCUAAUACAUGCAAGACGAACGGUAACAUUUGUAGCAAUACGGAUGCAAGAGUGUCGUAAGGGUGCGUAACACGUAUGCAAUCUGCCCUGUACAGGAGGAUAGCUCGGGGAAACCCGGAUUAACCCUCCAUAAGAUCGCACGAGGGCAUCUGAGAGCGAUUAAAACUGAGGUGGUACAGGAUGAGCAUGCGUCUGAUUAGCUAGUUGGUAGGGUAACGGCCUACCAAGGCUAUGAUCAGUAGGGGAACUGAGAGGUUGAUCCCCCACACUGGCACUGAGAUACGGGCCAGACUCCUACGGGAGGCAGCAGUAGGGAAUAUUGGUCAAUGGGUGAGAGCCUGAACCAGCCAUGCCGCGUGCAGGAAGAAGGCCUUCUGGGUUGUAAACUGCUUUUGCCAGGGGCUAAAAAGCUCAUGCGUGGGAAAUUGAAAGUACCUGGUGAAUAAGCCACGGCUAACUACGUGCCAGCAGCCGCGGUAAUACGUAGGUGGCAAGCGUUGUCCGGAUUUAUUGGGUUUAAAGGGUGCGUAGGCGGUCUGUUAAGUCAGUGGUGAAAUACGGCAGCUUAACUGUCGAGGUGCCAAUGAUACUGGCGGACUUGAGUACAGACGAGGUAGGCGGAAUUGACGGUGUAGCGGUGAAAUGCAUAGAUAUCGUCAAGAACACCGAUAGCGAAGGCAGCUUACUAAGCUGUAACUGACGCUGAGGCACGAAAGUGUGGGGAUCAAACAGGAUUAGAUACCCUGGUAGUCC
rnacentral:rRNA from 1 species